UCCAGUAUAAUAGCACUGACUUGAGCUAAUGCAGUCCUUCAAUUUGUGCCCUGGACUUGAGUGAAAUUGCACAGGAAAUGAAUUUAGCCCUCUGUCUGCAGUGUGAAAAGCAACAAAAAGAGGAAGUGCCUCAACCCACUCUAGCUCAGAUUUUCAUAGUUGAUUGCAGGAUUGGGCCUCGUAUAUGUAGUCUAUUACAGUAGCAUUUAGCAGGAAACACCUGAUUCUCAGAUAUCUUCUAUAUAAUCACUGAGAAACAGAAUAAAGUAACACUUUUUAAACUUCAUCAAUAAAGGAGGGGGGGAGUUCUUCAGUUGAAAUUUGGCAGCUACAAUCCUAGUGGAUUUUUUUUUAAAUGGUACGUAAACAGGAUUCCUGCGGAGAACUGUGUGGCUUCAGGAAAAACAGUGGCAGAUGACUGGAUUGAUUAAGGUGGAACUCUGAUAGGACCAUAGCAGGAGGACUCUAACCUCAUGAAUCAUCACAAAGCCAUUCUCUGAGGUGGAGAACUGCUAGGUUGGGAUGAAGCAUGUGCUGAAAAUGAGGAAUGAUUGGGAGCCUGAACUGCAGUUGGACACAUAAGUGAAACCACAGGGCAUCAGAAGACUCCAUUCCAGGAACAUUCGAACAAAUGAAAGCCUAGGAAGUGGCUGAGGCUGGAGCAGGAAGAGAGGAAGUGGCCCUGCCUGCUGACCAAUUCUGGAUAGAAGCUUUUUUUUUUUUUUCCCUUUGCUGGACCACGACCAUUCAAUGGAGUGAGUAGCAGGAAGUAUUGAAAGAGAGAUACUGUUAGCACUGUUUCCACAUACCUCAAAGACUGAUCUUUAUGCAGCUGAGACUCCAAGGGAUAUCCCUUAAAAUAAAGGCCAGCUUAUUACCCAUCUUCUCCAGCUCCCGGGGAACUAAAUACUCUGAAGUAGAGAGAAAUUGUUGCACAAUGCUUCUUUAUAGCUCUCAGUGUGCCUUCUUUGCUGGCUCCAGCUGCCCCUAAACUCUGUUUUUCCUAGUCUUUUCUCCAAUAUUUUUUCCAGUUGACUUAGUUAUUACAGUACAUGGACCAGACUGAGGAAAAUACAUUGAAGGUUGGAGUUGGCAAAGCAGUAAGUGCUAUGAGAGGGAAGUACUCUUGCCAUGCAAUGACAUCAUCUGGGAGUUAAUUGGUUGCAUUCCUGCUGAUGGGAGGUGCUGGCUGGAGUCCUUACACUUACUUCCGUGAUACAGAACAGAGACAGUGCCUGUCUCUUGCCAGCCUGCUUCAUUGGCAGUACUCUGGCAAAGUCUAAGACGCUUACAA